UACGGAGGGUGCAAGCGUUAUCCGGAAUCAUUGGGUUUAAAGGGUCCGUAGGCGGGCAAUUAAGUCAGGGGUGAAAUCCCACAGCUCAACUGUGGAACUGCCUUUGAUACUGGUUGUCUUGAGUUACAGUGAAGUAGAUAGAAUAAGUAGUGUAGCGGUGAAAUGCAUAGAUAUUACUUAGAAUACCGAUUGCGAAGGCAGUCUACUAACUGUAUACUGACGCUAAUGGACGAAAGCGUGGGGAGCGAACAGG
rnacentral:rRNA from 1 species